GGCCCAGCAAACACCAAACUGCAACUUUGGUUUCGAUUAUUUUAUCCUGGGUCU
rnacentral:tRNA from 1 species